rnacentral:misc_RNA from 1 species
GUGCAAGGUUGGCUCCGGCACUUUCACCGGCCAAGAUAAUCCGGCUGAGAUCUGCAUGGUCGUUUAUCCAGGCUUCAGGACCUUGUCCAUCGGAGUGGUUAGCGACCCAUUGAAGCCCUGCCCAUGAAUCGUCANNNNNNNNNAUGGGUGCUCAGGAGCGAGUCUGUACUCAACGGACAUGGUUAUGAGAUUAGCUUGUGAGGCUAGAGCAGAAAGAAAGCUUUUGAAAUGGGCGCUAAAAGCUGAUCCAAUACAGAAUCCACCGCCAUGACAGUGGACGAGGAGGGGAAGCUUUCGGGAUGAAUCGUGAAGUUUUGGGAGGAAGAUGCGAGCUUUUACGCCAGUUUUGUCUGAGAUUACAACAUCUUUGGAUUGGAUUCCAGUUU